rnacentral:siRNA from 1 species
CCAGCCGGUAGGCCUAUGCCUC